rnacentral:rRNA from 1 species
UACGUAGGGGGCGAGCGUUGUCCGAAGUUACUGGGCGUAAAGCGCGUGUAGGCGGGUCUUUAAGUGAGGGGUGAAAGGUUUGGGCUUAACCCAGACACUGCCUUUCAUACUGGAGACCUUGAGUGCGGUAGGGGAGACUGGAAUUCCUGGUGUAGCGGUGAAAUGCGCAGAUAUCAGGAGGAACACCGAUGGCGAAGGCAGGUCUCUGGGCCACUACUGACGCUGAGAAGCGAAAGCGUGGGGAGCGAACAGG